rnacentral:rRNA from 1 species
UACGUAGGGGGCGAGCGUUGUCCGGAGUUACUGGGCGUAAAGCGCACGCAGGCGGUCUGCUAAGUUUGGAGUGACAGUUGGUGGCUUAACUGCCAAAGUGCUUCGAAAACUGACAGACUUGAGGGCUUCAGAGGGACACGGAAUUCCGGGUGGAGUGGUGAAAUGCGUAGAGAUCCGGAGGAACACCAAAGGCGAAGGCAGUGUCCUGGGGAGUACCUGACGCUCAGGUGCGAAAGCCAGGGGAGCGAACGGGGAUUAGAACCGUAC